GUGCCAGCAGCCGCGGUAAUACGUAGGGUCCGAGCGUUGUCCGGAAUUAUUGGGCGUAAAGGGCUCGUAGGCGGUUUGUCGCGUCGGGAGUGAAAACGCCGGGCUUAACCCGGUGCUUGCUUUCGAUACGGGCAGACUGGAGGUAUGCAGGGGAGAACGGAAUUCCUGGUGUAGCGGUGAAAUGCGCAGAUAUCAGGAGGAACACCGGUGGCGAAGGCGGUUCUCUGGGCAUGACCUGACGCUGAGGAGCGAAAGUGUGGGGAGCGAACAGGAUUAGAAACCCCUGUAGUCC
rnacentral:rRNA from 1 species